rnacentral:lncRNA from 1 species
GUAAAAUUAUUUCCGAUUAUAAAUAUUCAUUUCUGCCGUUUAGACCACCGUAAAGUAAAUUCAUAUGUAACUCCACUCUCUCGUAAUAUCGUAAUUGACUUCGCUAUGGGAGUAGGGAUGCAAACGUUGUGGAUUUGGAGGCGAGAGCCCCGCCUCGCCUUCUGCCCCGACUAUCAAAAUUUCGUCAUGCCUUUCGUCCGAAUUCGUGACGGGUUAAAAAAUAUAUUCUAUAAUCCUCCCCGCUUUGUAACCCAUUUUCCGCCGGCGCCUUGAAUCUGUCCUGCUAACUAAUAUUUUUUUAUAAAAUUAUAAUAUUAUUAACAUUUUAUAAAAUAUAAAUUAAUAUUUUUUAAUAAUAUUAUAUAUAUAAUUAACAAUAUUAAUUAUAAAAAUUAAAAAUAUCAAUCACAAUUCGAAACAAAAUUUAAAAUUUCAAAUGCAUGAAAAAUGAGAGCACUAACUUAUUUGUAUUUUGGACUUUUUUGUAAAUACAUUAUUUUUUAGGGAUAUUUUUUAAAACAUAAAUAAUUUUCAGGCGAAUUCGGGGUGGAUUCGGGCUGGAUCAUGGCGGGCCGAAUUCGGGGCAGAUUCGAAGUGGGUCAAAAUUUCUCCUAUUUCCUAUCCUGAAUCCGCCUCAGGUCAUAAAAAUUAUUCCUUUUUCGUCCCGAAUCUGUUUAUUUUCUUUCAUUUACUAUUCUAUUCGGAACGGAUCAGAACGAAAGCUCCACCAAUCCGGAUCCGUUUCCAUCCUUAUACGGGGAAUACCAAAGUCAA